rnacentral:SRP_RNA from 1 species
UAUCGGCUCCCCCGCAACGAAAGACUGUGAACCCCGUCAGGCCCGGAAGGGAGCAGCGGUAGCAGUGACUACGGGUGCCGGGGUGUGGCUGGUGCGG